CACAGAGUUGCUAGCUUGGACUUGUUCUGAUGGAAAUAGCAGGAGUCCCAACUACAAGAGUUGCAAUGUCAAGGCCUCAUCUUAUAACUGGCACAUAGGUCACUUCCACCAUAUUCUUUUUGCUAACGAAAGUCACAAAGUCAGUCCAUGUUCAAGUAGAGGGGAAACUGACUCCACCACUUGAUGUGAAGAGUUGGAAUAUCAUAGUUAUUGUUUCUUGUGACUUGCCAUAGCGUAUUUUCUCACACUAACAACUCUGUAUUUCUUCCCAAAUUCUGAAAAAUUCUUUUGUUGGCUCUUCCUGUACUUGAUUCAUUACAUUAAGUUUUCCAUUUAAAUGUUAUUUCCUUGGAAAGACUUUAUCAUUUGUCAAGUAGGUGUAUUCUCUUCAUCAGUUACUCUAUUUUCUCAUUACAAUAUGAACUUUGUAAAAAUGGGAACUUUACUUUGUUUAUGCCAGUAGUUUAUAUACAUUUUCUGUUACGUGAAAAGUACAAAAUGUUUUUUUCAUGGUUAAAGAAAUAAAAGAAUAAAUAUGUA
rnacentral:lncRNA from 1 species